GAAAUGCGAUAAGUAAUGUGAAUUGCAGAAUUCAGUGAAUCAUCGAAUCUUUGAACGCACCUUGCGCUCCUUGGUAUUCCUUGGAGCAUGCCUGUUUGAGUAUCAUGAAAUCUUCAAAGUAAAUCUUUUGUUAACUCAAUUGGUUUCUACUUUGGUAUUGGAGGUCUUUGCAGCUUCACACCUGCUCCUCUUUGUUCAUUAGCUGGAUCUCAGUGUUAUGCUUGGUUCCACUCGGCGUGAUAAGUUAUCUAUCGCUGAGGACACUGUAAAAGGUGGCCAAGGUAAAUGCAGAUGAACCGCUUCUAAUAGUCCAUUGACUUGGACAAUACUUUUAUGAUCUGAUCUCCAAUCAGGUAGGACUACCCUCUGAACUUAAGC
rnacentral:misc_RNA from 1 species